rnacentral:rRNA from 1 species
UACAGAGGUCUCAAGCGUUGUUCGGAUUCAUUGGGCGUAAAGGGCGCGUAGGCGGCACGGCAAGUCGGGAGUGAAAGGCCUGGGCUCAACCGAGGAACUGCUUUCGAGACUGCCGAGCUAGAGUGCGGAAGGGGCAACUGGAAUUCCCAGUGUAGCGGUGAAAUGCGCAGAUAUCAGGAGGAACACCGGUGGCGAAGGCGGGUCUCUGGGCCGAUACUGACGCUGGAGGAGCGGAAAGCGUGGGGAGCGAACAGG